rnacentral:rRNA from 1 species
UCACGCUGGCGGCGUGCCUCAGACAUGCAAGUCGAACGCGAAAGUCCCCUUCGGGGGACAAGUAGAGUGGCGCACGGGUGAGUAACACGUAGGUAAUCUACCUUCGGGUGGGGAAUAACAAUCGGAAACGGUUGCUAAUACCGCAUAAUGCAGCGGCACCUAAUGGUGACAGUUGUUAAAGCGGGGGAUCGAAAGAUCUCGCGCCUGAAGAGGAGCCUGCGGCGGAUUAGCUAGUUGGUAGGGUAACGGCCUACCAAGGCGACGAUCCGUAGCCGGCCUGAGAGGGCGGUCGGCCACACUGACACUGACAUACGGGUCAGACUCCUACGGGAGGCAGCAGUCGGGAAUUUUGGGCAAUGGGCGAAAGCCUGACCCAGCAACGCCGCGUGAAGGAUGAAAUCCCUCGGGAUGUAAACUUCGCAAGAACGGGAAGAAUAAGUCUAUGUUAAUACCAUAGGCGAUGACGGUACCGUUUGUAAGCUCCGGCUAACUCCGUGCCAGCAGCCGCGGUAAUACGGGGGGAGCAAGCGUUGUUCGGAUUUACUGGGCGUAAAGGGCGCGUAGGCGGCCACCGCAAGUCAGUUGUGAAAUCUCCGAGCUUAACUCGGAAAGGUCAACUGAUACUGCGGGGCUAGAGUGCGGAAGGGGCAACUGGAAUUCUUGGUG